rnacentral:snoRNA from 1 species
UGUUUUGAUGAUGACUACUGGUGGCGUAUGAGUCUUUUGCGAUGAAUGCGUGUCUAGAACUCUGAGGUCCAU